rnacentral:rRNA from 1 species
GGGUCAGUAGGUUGGUCGUGCCACCGGUACGUACUGGUCUCACUGAUUCCUCCUUCCUGAAGAACCGUAAUGCGAUUAAUUUGGUGUUGCGGGGAAACAGGACUGUUACUUUGAAAAAAUUAGAGUGUUUAAAGCAAGCUAACGCUUGAAUACAUUAGCAUGGAAUAAUGAAAUAGGACGAUCGAUCCUAUUUUGGUGGUUUCUAGGAUUGACGUA